rnacentral:lncRNA from 1 species
AACCUAUAACCCCAGUUGGUAGGGUGUUAAUACCGUGCCAUGGGUACUAACAAUGGCUAUGUGGAUCCACUAAAUUGAUAUAAUAUCCAAAGGACUAAGGGUGUCAAGCCUGAACUGAUGGGUGACCCCUGCGAGAUAGUCAAGCCUACUCUGACGGGUGACUACUCAUAUCCUAUGCUAGCUACAUACUUCUAGAGUAUAGGGAUUGCUAUUAAUAACUCUGCCUCACUGAAGGGGAAGCCUCCAUCCUCACACUCACUCGGUGCUAAAUCCUAUUCCCAACUGAAAGACGUUGGGAUACUAGACUAUUCUGAGUUGAAUAACUGAUAUCUGACUAUUCUGAUAAUGCUCAUAAUAUAACCUGAAGAAUAUUCUGUGAUGUACUAAG